CCUCUAAUGCAUAAUAGAUAACACUUCAGAAAAAAGCCAAAAAGGGUUGGUGGGGGUGGGGGUGGGGAAAUCUGAGGCAGAGGGACAAAAAGUGCGCAUUGUCUCUCUCGGGAAGCCAACAGGGGCGACGCAGGCCACAGGCUAGGAGGUGGGAGAGGCAGCAAGCACAGGGGUGUCCGUCUCUCCUAGUGUGAAGCGGUGGGGCGAUACCUUCGAGACAACAGGCCACCCCAUUGCCUGGAAGGUCCUCGUGCUGAGCAAAGGCCAGUUUUGGUUAGAAAGUCAGGCUAGACACUGGGCAGGGGAGACUUGAGAAAACGGCCAGUCCACUAGCACAAAGAUGAGGGAACUGAGGCCCAGAGAAGUUCCUUCCCAGCUAGCAAGGCUUCUUGCUCCCAACUCCAGCCUGGGUUGUCAGCUACACCUUUACCUACAUUGCUCCUUGUAACAGCUCUGGGAUCCUGCUGCUACCGGUUCUGCCAGCCCUAUUUUAAAACCGAGGACACCAAUUCAAAGAUAUUGACCCCAGCCACCCUGAGUGUCUGUGGGCUCCCAGCCCGACUCAAGGGGAGGGUGCUGUCCUCUCCAUUCCUAUUUGCCAAGGCUCGUGGGCACUGUGGGACACAGCCCUGGUCUGGAGUCAGAGCACCCAGUGCAAAUUCGAUUUCAACUGCUUACUUUCUGCCUGACCUUACUCAAGUCACCCCAACCCUUAGCUUCAAGUUUCCUCCGUAGUCAAACAAAGGGCUGGGGUCCCAAUCCAGCUCUAAAGCUCUGGCCUGAGAUCUCACAAGGUCAAGAGAUGGCUUAACAAACUCCUUAAUUACAGCAGGGAGGCUUGGGAAAAGGCAGAGACAAGGGAAAGCUGCUGAAGAGUGGAAAAUGCCCUAGUCCUUCAGCAGCUUGGGGAGGGAGCUCUUUAGCCCCUAAACCCUGCGUUCAGGCUCUGGCUUUCACUACCAAUUAAGGGCAGGGUCUGUUCCUGGAAGGAAGACUUGAAACACCUAGAGGCUGAAUCUUGUCUGGCCUCUUCCUGAAAACAGGGCUGGCAUACAUCUUGGGUGCAGACUAGAGAAACAGGAUUGGGAGACCCCAGCAAGACUGAAAGAAGGGUAUGGGAAGAGGAGGGGGACAGAGGUUGGUACCCAAGCAAGCUGGUGGGAAAUACCCAUCAGCCCCUGCUAACCAGUGGCCUGUGCCCGUGUCACCCAGGACGUUUGUGGCAGGGACAGGACAAAAUUUGAUGACAUCUAGUCCUCUGGCUCCUUCAUGGGGAGCCUGUGCCACCUGUCACACACUUGGUAACUAGAAUAAACAGUUUGCAGCAAUUUAUUAAAAAAAAUAA
rnacentral:lncRNA from 1 species